rnacentral:sRNA from 1 species
UUUUUUUUGUCAUCCGCUUAAGUAAUGAUGCCCAAACAAAUCAUUCCUAAAGGAUAUUGUUUACAUAAGUGACAUGAUGCGGUUCGGUACAAACUUUUUAUGCUAAAGAUCCGCUUUUAUAUUCGCACUACGAAAAACUAAAAAUAAAGAGAAUUCUUUCUUGUCAAUUUGGAUCUCCUUUAGAUAUACUAAGAAAUUAGAGAAUCCGCUUCAGUUUUGAAGAGAUCAUGUUU